UUAGCUUAGUGGUAGAGCAUUUGACUGUAGAUCAAGAGGUCACCAGUUCGGCCCUGGUA
rnacentral:tRNA from 1 species